rnacentral:rRNA from 1 species
CAAAUUUCUGCCCUAUCAACUUUCGAUGGUAAGGUAUUGGCUUACCAUGGUUUCAACGGGUAACGGGGAAUUAGGGUUCGAUUCCGGAGAGGGAGCCUGAGAAACGGCUACCACAUCCAAGGAAGGCAGCAGGCGCGCAAAUUACCCAAUCCCGACACGGGGAGGUAGUGACAAUAAAUACUGAUACAGGGCUCUUUUGGGUCUUGUAAUUGGAAUGAGUACAAUUUAAACCUCUUAACGAGGAACAAUUGGAGGGCAAGUCUGGUGCCAGCAGCCGCGGUAAUUCCAGCUCCAAUAGCGUAUAUUAAAGUUGUUGCAGUUAAAAAGCUCGUAGUUGAAACUUGGGUCUGGCUGGCAGGUCCGCCUCACCGCGUGUACUUGUCCGGCCGGGCCUUUCCUUCUGGAGAACCUCAUGCCCUUCACUGGGCGUGUUGGGGAACCAGGACUUUUACUUUGAAAAAAUUAGAGUGUUCAAAGCAGGCCUUUGCUCGAAUACGUUAGCAUGGAAUAAUAGAAUAGGACGUGCGGUCCUAUUUUGUUGGUUUCUAGGACCGCCGUAAUGAUUAAUAGGGACAGUCGGGGGCAUCAGUAUUCAAUUGUCAGAGGUGAAAUUCUUGGAUUUAUUGAAGACUAACUACUGCGAAAGCAUUUGCCAAGGAUGUUUUCAUUAAUCAGUGAACGAAAGUUAGGGGAUCGAAGACGAUCAGAUACCGUCGUAGUCUUAACCGUAAACUAUGCCGACUAGGGAUCGGGCGAUGUU